rnacentral:lncRNA from 1 species
GUCAAAAAAAAAAAAAAAAAAAAAAUGUUGAGUAGUAAUUUUCUUAAUUCACACUUCAAUUGAAACUUUUCAGGAAUUUUUGGGCUCUAUGGGCCGGUUGUAUAAACGAAGACUAAUUUAAACCGGCACUAAGCAAGAAACCUGUUUUAGCCUUGGUCUGCUUGUGCCAAGUCUAAAUUUGGCUUGUUUAAACUAAGAUUAAGUAUUGGUCUAAGCGAACUUUUUUUAGUCAUAGGCUAUUCCAGUAUUUGUUUGGCUUCCCCAGUAACAGCCAAUCAGAGAGAGGCUGAGUCAUUUAUGUCACUUCCAUCAAAAGCCAGUAUUAAUGAAAAAUGGCGACGGUAGCAGGUAAAAGCAAAUUUGGUGUUAAAAUUUUUUCCGAAAAAGAUAAACCUGAUAAAGCAGCAUUAGUUAAAUUAACAAAAAUUCAUCUCAAACUAGAAGAUAGAGAAUUCAAUUCUGUAUCAGUCCUUAAAAAACGAGAAGCCUGGAAAAGGAUACAGUUAGAAUUUUUGUGGUUUUUUCGUACCAUAUCAUUUUUAAUCCCAUCUAAAAGUGUCGUAUUUUUAUAUGGGAAAAAAAAUCAUAUUGUAUGAUUUAGUAAAUUUAGUGAGUGUGUCUUUAUAAGCAGUAGC